rnacentral:rRNA from 1 species
UACGAAGGGGGCUAGCGUUGUUCGGAAUUACGGGGCGUAAAGCGCGCGCAGGCGGUUCUUCAAGUCAGUGGUGAAAGCCCGGAGCUCAACUCCGGAAUUGCCAUUGAAACUGUAGAACUUGAGUACGAGAGAGGUGAGUGGAAUUCCCAGUGUAGAGGUGAAAUUCGUAGAUAUUGGGAAGAACACCGGUGGCGAAGGCGGCUCACUGGCUCGUAACUGACGCUCAGGCGCGAUAGCGUGGGGAUCAAACAGG